rnacentral:rRNA from 1 species
GACGAACGCUGGCGGCGUGCUUAACACAUGCAAGUCGAACGGGCCCGCUCUCUUUUUUGGGGGUGGGUUGAGUGGCGAACGGGUGAGUAUCACGUGAGUAACCUGCCCCCUGCUCCUGGAUAACUGCUUGAAAGGGCGGCUAAUACGGGGUGUGCCGGCUGGUCCGCAUGGGCCUGGUCGGGAUAGUUUCAUCUUCGGGUGUUUCGGUGGGGGAUGGGCUCGCGGCCUAUCAGCUUGUUGGUGGGGUGAUGGCCCACCAAGGCGGUGACGGGUAGCCGGCCUGAGGGGGUGGGCGGCCACACUGGGACUGAGACACGGCCCAGACUCCUGCGGGAGGCAGCAGUGGGGGGUAUUGCGCAAUGGGCGGAAGCCUGAUGCAGCGACGUCGCGUGAGGGAUGGAGGCCUUCGGGUUGUGAACCUCUUUCUCCGGUGGUGAAGGCCCUGUCCGUUGCGGCGGGGUUGACGGUAGCCGGGUAUGAAGCGCCGGCUAACUACGUG